ACCCUCACUUGUUCUUUCACAAGAACUUACUUGCCUCUAACAUAAGGAAAUGACUUAAAGCUCUGGAAUCUGUUUUGCAAGAAUGUCAAUGGUAUUCGAAAUCAAGAGUGCCUACUUGGAUUCCAAGGACCAUGUUAAUGAUUUCACUCACAUCUUCCCUUAGUAAUUUGCACAAGGGUGCUGCAAAGUGUUAUCCCCGGUGUACACAUGAGGUAGUGGUUCAAGACCAGAGAUUUGUACCAGGGACCUUAGUAGGUGACAGGGCCUGGAUUGAAAACCCAGUGCUUUGCUGCUUCCACUACCUGUUUGCCAAAUGAGAAUCUCCUGAGUCACUCAUGACGCCAGCUCCAGGCCCCUCCCCAUAGAGAUUCCAGUCAGUGGACCAAGGUGGAGCUCAAGAUAAGUGUCUGGGCUGCUGCUUAGCAUGAGGCAGGUUUACACCUCAGGACACCAUGCUGCUGCUUUACCACCCUAACCUAGAGGCAUUUAUCAGCUCAGUAUGUUUCAGUUGGCUUGUCUUGGUCUUCGGAUGAAAGCUGAGUCCUGUUUCAGAGAGACUGACAGAGCUCCCAGGCCACAGCAGUCUGCAAAAACAUUCUCGAGUAACCUAUAGAGAAGACCUGCUGCUGCUAAGUCGCUUCAGUCGUGUCCGACUCUGUGCGACCCCAUAGAUGGCAGCCCACCAGAACGUGUAAAAGCCAAGCUGAGAAAGGACCUUCUGCCAAAAUACCACAUUACCCAUCAAUGUCCCCUCCUACCCUCUAAGUCUCCAUAAGCAACAGGGGAAUGACAAGGUUUGAACAGAAUCCAGUGGGACCUGGGAUACCUGCAAGUGACUGAUUCCCUUGGAGGGAUGUGAAAGCAGUUUCUCCUCCCAGUGGUGUGAACGUCUGUACUGUUGUUAGACUGGAGGGGCACUGGGAAGGUCGCGUGGCUCUGCCCACACCACUGUGAAAUGGCUGGCUUGCAAAAAUUACUGGGAAGUGCAGCAGCAAGACUGGCCUUAUCCCUGGGGAGUCACCUACUUAAUCUGACAAGAGUCUUACUAAUUAACUCAGCAUGGCAAACACGAAGGUCCCCCUUCAGGAAUGAAGGAUUUAUUUUCCUAGCUGCAGGAAAUGCUGACAGGAAACAGCUCUUGGCUGUAAGCCCUUUGGAAAGCAAUUUGACACCAAGGUCACAUCUCCUUUCAUGGGCAGUCCACAUCCAAAGACUGAUGAUAUGGAGUAUAAAGACCUGGUCCCCUUGUCCCAAAUCAAGAGAACUCUGAAGGGUCAUCCGAGCUUCUAAACUCCCUGUAGGGCUGACUGAGCCCUCCGUUGAGACUGCUGCAGCUCAAUUGUCCCCACCUCUUCUUUUUCCUCCCUCCCCUCUUCCUUCCUGUGGAUCCCAAAGGUUCUCUCUGAUAAGCCUGUGUGUGUUCAGUUGCUCAGUCAGACUCUGCGACCCCCAAGGACUGUACACUGCCAGACUCUGUCCGUGGGGAUUCUCGAUUCUCCAAGCAAUACUGGAGUGGGUUGCCACACCCUCCUCCUCCAGGCGAUCUUCCCAACCCAGGGAUCAAACCCAGGUCUCCCGCAUUGCAGGCAGAUUCUUUACCUUCUGAGCCACCAGGGAAGCUCCUGAGUGCUGACCCUGCCACUGGCUGGCACUUCAGACCUGCAUUCAUGUGAAAUGCUGUGCUCAAGACUUCAGCUCGUGGCCAUGUGCAGAGACGCCUCCACCCACACGUACACCAUGAUUCAAGAUGGCACCAGUAAGCCACAUGCAGAGACGUGCACCCAGGCACUGCGAGAGCUCCAGUGGGUUCUGGGAGAGCACAGCUGCACCAGACUUGUCAGAGCUCUCUCCCCUCUCUGCUGACAAGAUCCUUAUAAAACAGCCCUGCUGCUGCUAAGUCGCUUCAGUUGUGUCCGACUCUGCAACCCCAUAGACGGCAGCCCACCAGGCUCCCCUGUCCCUGGGAUUCUCCAGGCAAGAAUACUGGAGUGGGUUGCCAUUGCCUUCUCCAAUGCAUGAAAGUGAAAAGUGAAAGUGAAGUCGCUCAGUCGUGUCCAACUCCUAGCGACCCCAUGGACUGCAGCCUACCAGGCUCCUCCAUCCAUGGGAUUUUCCAGGCAAGAGUACUGGAGUGGGGUGCCAUCGCCUUCUCCGUAUAAAACAGCCCUACUGAAGGCCUUUCAGGAAGAUCUUGUACCCAGGAGUACUAGCGAACAACUCUCCAUUCUUUGUUCAAAGACUAAAGC
ensembl:lncRNA